rnacentral:rRNA from 1 species
CCUACGGGAUGCAGCAGUGAGGAAUAUUGGUCAAUGGGCGCGAGCCUGAACCAGCCAAGUCGCGUGAGGGAUGACGGUCCUACGGAUUGUAAACCUCUUUUGCCGGGGAGCAAGCGUGCGUUCGUGAACGCGCGUCGAGAGUACCCGGAGAAAAAGCAUCGGCAAACUCCGUGCCAGCAGCCGCGGUAAUACGGAGGAUGCGAGCGUUAUCCGGAGUUAUUGGGUUUAAGGGGUGCGUAGGCGGGAUGCCAAGUCAGCGGUAAAAAUGCGGUGCUCAACGCCGUCGAGCCGUUGAAACUGGCGUUCUGGAGUGGGCGAGAAGUAUGCGGAAUGCGGGGUGUAGCGGUGAAAUGCAUAGAUAUCACGCAGAACUCCGAGUGCGAAGGCAGCAUACCGGCGCCCUACUGACGCUGAGGCACGAAAGCGUGGGUAUCGAACAGGAUUAGAUACCCGGGUGUC